rnacentral:lncRNA from 1 species
AGUUGCCUUCCAAUGACAACUUUAUGCCUAAUGACGAUCUCCGUGCUUGCGACCUCGGUUAAUUUGCUAUACGCCUGCUUAUAUUGAAAUUAUGCAGGGUGAGCGCAACGCUGUCAUGAGCAACAAGAAGAACGAAGUUCCCUCGUGCCUCGUGGGGAGCGCGCUCUUGCUGGUUCACCGUGGGACUUCGCGAAGCCACCCCAACCACGCACCGCUUCUCCAGUGUAUUUUUCAAAACAGAGUAGUCUUUUGAAGACGAUGGCUUACGGUCCUCAACAGUACGAACAAGCAGAGGCAUACCCAGGUACUGGUUAUGGAGCGUACGGACAGUCAGAGGCCUCUUUCUUCACGG